rnacentral:miRNA from 1 species
UUGUUGUGUAGUCUAGGCUGGCCUUGAACUCACUAUGUAGCCCAGGCUGGCCUCAAACUCAAAGCAAUCCUCCUGCCUCAGCCUCCCGAGUGCUGGGAUUACAGGCGUGCGCCACCAUGCCCG